CCACGGGUUGCACCAGUGGGGAAUAUUGCACAAUGGAGGAAACUCUGAUGCAGCAACGCCGCGUGGAGGAUGACACUUUUCGGAGCGUAAACUCCUUUUAUAUAGGAAGAAGAUGACGGUACUAUAUGAAUAAGCGCCGGCUAACUCCGUGCCAGCAGCCGCGGUAAUACGGAGGGAGCAAGCGUUACUCGGAAUCACUGGGCGUAAAGAGCGUGUAGGCGGAUUAAAAAGUCAGAAGUGAAAUCCUAUAGCUUAACUAUAGAACUGCUUCUGAAACUCUUAAUCUAGAAUAUGGGAGAGGUAGAUGGAAUUUCUGGUGUAGGGGUAAAAUCCGUAGAGAUCAGAAGGAAUACCGAUUGCGAAGGCGAUCUACUAGAACAUUAUUGACGCUGAGACGCGAAAGCGUGGGGAGCAAACAGGAUUAGAUACCCUCGUAGUC
rnacentral:rRNA from 1 species